rnacentral:rRNA from 1 species
GAUGAACGCUGGCGGCGUGCCUAAUACAUGCAAGUCGAGCGAACGGACGAGAAGCUUGCUUCUCUGAUGUUAGCGGCGGACGGGUGAGUAACACGUGGAUAACCUACCUAUAAGACUGGGAUAACUUCGGGAAACCGGAGCUAAUACCGGCUAAUAUUUUGAACCGCAUGGUUCAAAAGUGACAGACGGUCUUGCUGUCACUUAUAGCUGGAUCCGCACUGCAUUAGCUAGUUGGUAAGGUAACGGCUUACCAAGGCAACGAUGCAUAGCCGACCUGAGAGGGUGAUCGGCCACACUGGAACUGAGACACGGUCCAGACUCCUACGGGAGGCAGCAGUAGGGAAUCUUGCGCAAUGGGCGAAAGCCUGACGGAGCAACGCCGCGUGAGUGAUGAAGGUCUUCGGAUCGUAAAACUCUGUUAUUAGGGAAGAACAUAGGUGUAAGUAACUGUGCACAUCUUGACGGUACCUAAUCAGAAAGCCACGGCUAACUACGUG